UACAGAGGUCCCAAGCGUUGUUCGGAUUCACUGGGCGUAAAGGGUGCGCAGGUGGUGAGGCAAGUUCGGUGUGAAAGCUCCAGGCUCAACCUGGAAAUGGCACUGAAAACUGCUUUGCUUGAGGUUUGGAGGGGGGACUGGAAUUCUCGGUGGAGCAGUGAAAUGCGUAGAUAUCGAGAGGAACACCAGCGGCGAAGGCGGCGCUCUGGGCCGGUACUGACGCUGAGGAGCGAAAGCGUGGGGAGCGAACAGG
rnacentral:rRNA from 1 species